rnacentral:rRNA from 1 species
UGUCCGGCUCGUCCACAUGCUUGGAUGCCUUGACGGAGUUCUGCGGCGGAUGGCACGUUACUUUGAACAAUGAGUGCUCAAGUCGCCGAUGUUGCCCUGUAAAGUUUGCAUGAAUAAUGGAAGAGGACUUCGGUUUAUUUCGUGUUUCGGAUCCGAAGUAAUGAUCAAAAGGGACAGGCGGGGCGUUUGUAGGCUGCGCUGAGUGAAUUCAUGAACGGUGCCAGACGACAAAGCGAAGGCAUUCGUCAAGCAUGUUUCAUUGGCACGAGCGAAAGUCGAGCUCGAGACGAUCAGACCGUCCUAGUUCUGACCAUAAACGAUGCCAACUGACGAUCCGUGGUGGUAGUGAUGUUGCCUUCCCCACGGGCAGUCGCCGGGAAACCGUUAAGUGUUUGGGUUCCGGGGGAAGUAUGGUUGCAAAGCUGAAACUUAAAGGAAUUGACGGAAGGGCACCACCAGGAGUGGAGCCUGCGGCUUAAUUUGACUCAACACGGGAAAACUCACCCGGGCCGGACACUGUGAGGAUUGACAGAUUGAGAGCUCUUUCUUGAUUUGGUGGUUGGUGGUGCAUGGCCGUUCUUAGUUGGUGGAGCGAUUUGUCUGGUUAAUUCCGAUAACGAACGAGACUCCAGCCUGCUAAUUAGUGCGUUCGUCCACUGCGCCCGCGUGGGUGACGCUGGACGAUACCGUCUGUCACGGGUGCGCAGUUUGCGCUCCUCCCUCCUCUUGCGUUUCUGCGUGAGAAUUGGGGGGUGGAGGUGCGGGUUGACGCUCGUGGUUGGUUAGUCUGGCGUUGGCCUGCGGGUGCGGCGCGAAUGCUUACUUCUUAGAGGGACAAGCGGGAGAAGCCGCGCGAGAUAGAGCAAUAACAGGUCUGUGAUGCCCUUAGAUGUCCGGGGCCGCACGCGCGCUACAAUGACGGUGUCAACGAGUGGGACCUUCUGGCCCGAGAGGGUUGGGCAAACUGGUCAAUCACCGUCGUGACAGGGAUCGGGGCUUGGAAUUGUUCCCCGUGAACGAGGAAUUCCUAGUAAGUGCAGGUCAUAAGCUUGCGCUGAUUACGUCCCUGCCCUUUGUACACACCGCCCGUCGCUACUACCGAUUGAGUGGUUUAGUAAGAUCCUUGGAUCGGCGUCAUUGUGGCAGUUGCCGGAAGGUCAUUGUCCUGCAGUCGCUGAGAAGACGACCAAACUUGAUCAUUUAGAGGAAGUAAAAGUCGUAACAAGGUUUCCGUAGGUGAACCUGCGGAAG